AUUGAACGCUGGCGGCAGGCCUAACACAUGCAAGUCGAGCGGAUGAGAGGAGCUUGCUCCUCGAUUCAGCGGCGGACGGGUGAGUAAUGCCUAGGAAUCUGCCUAGUAGUGGGGGACAACGUUUCGAAAGGAACGCUAAUACCGCAUACGUCCUACGGGAGAAAGUGGGGGAUCUUCGGACCUCACGCUAUUAGAUGAGCCUAGGUCGGAUUAGCUAGUUGGUAGGGUAAAGGCCUACCAAGGCGACGAUCCGUAACUGGUCUGAGAGGAUGAUCAGUCACACUGGAACUGAGACACGGUCCAGACUCCUACGGGAGGCAGCAGUGGGGAAUAUUGGACAAUGGGCGAAAGCCUGAUCCAGCCAUGCCGCGUGUGUGAAGAAGGCCUUCGGGUCGUAAAGCACUUUAAGUUGGGAGGAAGGGCUCAUAGCGAAUACCUGUGAGUUUUGACGUUACCAACAGAAUAAGCACCGGCUAACUUCGUGCCAGCAGCCCCGUAA
rnacentral:rRNA from 1 species